GCAUUGAUAGCUCAGUGGUAGAGCGGUAGGAUGGUACCCCAUGCGGCUCGGGUUCGAGCCCCUGUCGAUGCA